AUUGAACGCUGGCGGCAUGCUUUACACAUGCAAGUCGAACGGUAACAGGCCUUCGGGCGCUGACGAGUGGCGAACGGGUGAGUAAUGCAUCGGAACGUGCCCAGUCGUGGGGGAUAACGCAGCGAAAGCUGUGCUAAUACCGCAUACGAUCUGCGGAUGAAAGCGGGGGACCUUCGGGCCUCGCGCGAUUGGAGCGGCCGAUGUCAGAUUAGGUAGUUGGUGGGGUAAAGGCUCACCAAGCCAACGAUCUGUAGCUGGUGUGAGAGGACGGCCAGCCACACUGGGAAUGAGACACGGCCCAGACUCCUACGGGAGGCAGCAGUGGGGAAUUUUGGACAAUGGGCGCAAGCCUGAUCCAGCAAUGCCGCGUGCAGGAAGAAGGCCUUCGGGUUGUAAACUGCUUUUGUACGGAGCGAAAAGGCUCCCUCUAAUACAGGGGGCUCAUGACGGCACCGUAAGAAUAAGCACCGGCUAACUACGUGCCAGCAGCCGCAGUAACAC
rnacentral:rRNA from 1 species